rnacentral:misc_RNA from 1 species
GAUGAAGAACGCAGCGAAAUGCGAUACGUAAUGUGAAUUGCAGAAUUCAGUGAAUCAUCGAGUCUUUGAACGCACAUUGCGCCCCCUGGUAUUCCGGGGGGCAUGCCUGUCCGAGCGUCAUUGCUGCCCUCAAGCACGGCUUGUGGGUUGGGCCUCCGUCCUCCUCCCGGGGGACGGGCCCGAAAGGCAGCGGCGGCACCGCGUCCGGUCCUCGAGCGUAUGGGGCUUCGUCACCCGCUCUUGUAGGCCCGGCCGGCGCUUGCCGACACAUCAAUCUUUUUUCCAGGUUGACCUCGGAUCAGGUAGGGAUACCCGCUGAACUUAAGCAUAUCAAUAAGCGGAGGA